UCUAAACUGAAAUCUUAUAGCGGCGAAACCUAAACGCAUUCAAAGGGAGGCAAAGGAGGGAGAUUUACACUUAAAUUGAUGAGGGUCCCGUGCCAGUGGAUGCCCAGCAUCUGGAAGAUCAUUUUUGUUCAGUUCCACAACCCAGGGCAGAUGAUUAAUGCACCGUAUCAGGCUGACAGUCUCCAUGAGGAGGUGGAGUGACUGAAAGGAGACUGCUUUGAUGCUGCUUUUGGUGUUAUACGGCUCUAAAGGUUCACAGCUUGCAUCCUACAUCCAGAGUAACGUGUCCAGAGUAAGGGCAACUGUAAGGGGGAUACCGUCUAUGGCAUGGCUGAGGGUCCACUUUGAGCAUCUCAUCCGCAGCAUGAAGCAACACAGGAUGGACAGUCAUCAUCUCUUUCUAUUACAGCGAGCACCAACCAGAUUUAUACAAAGGCUUGCCUUCUGCCCAUUAGUAAAAAUUAAAGAGUACACACACUGUACAUAAUUUAUAUGUUUUUUCCUGCACUGCAGGAAUAUAAAGUUGUCAAUAUAAUAAACAUUAAUUUUCAACAUAAUCAUGUAAACAUAUAUUACAGAACAAUUUGAGUGAACAAUUGCUCUGCACUAAUGUAAAUAUAAAUAACUGUAGAUACUUGCACUGCAGGUGUAAAUAAGCAGGGUAUUAUGUGCAUAGAGAAAUAUGCAAUGCUUACCUCCAUCAAACGUACUGCCUCUGUCUUUUGACAAAAAUCAGGCGGGCAACUACCGUCAGAACCCAAGUGAUGCUCAAGGACUGGUUGUAUUUAAUUACAUUUAAUGUUAGCCUUUUUAAAAAAGACAAGAAUAAUGCAAAAUACAUUAGUUUCAAGUCACAACAAUGUAAUGAAUGGGAUACCACCUCCAACUCAUUUUCAACAAGGAAAACCCUGAAAUAUGUAAAUAUAAGUAACAUUUGCACUGCAGUAAUGUAAAAACAUAACUUUAGACAUUUGCACUGCAGUAUAAAUAUAAAAAGUUUUACACAAUGUUAAACAUUUCCCUUACAGCGAUGUGUAAAAAUACAACAUUAAACAAUUUUUAAAUAAUUUGUGUGAGUGUUUGUUCAAAUCUGUAAUCAUUGUGACAGGUAAAAGUAAAAAAGGAAAGAAAUGGUCAGCUUCUUCUCAAACAUGUUGAUGUCUUUGUAGAUGAGCUGGAUCGUCAUGUCAUCCUGAGAAUAAAUAACCUCCCACUCAAA